UUGUGUGUGAGGAGCAAGUUUUAAAAUCAAUAGCACUUGGAGUGGAAACAUGGUAACACUUCAGGUGCUUUUGAUUUUGU
rnacentral:sRNA from 1 species